rnacentral:tRNA from 4 species
GUGCCCGUGGUGUAGUGGUUAUCACAUCCGCCUAACACGCGGAAGGUCCCAGGUUCGAUCCCUGGCGGGCACA